UUUUUGAGGCUCUUGCGGCAGCGAGAAUUGCGGCAGUAGGGAAGGAUGGAAAGGGCUCCUGCGGGAGCAGACACUGCUAUGGCAGUGGUGAAAUAUAGGUAGAGGCUCCUGCGGGAGCAGACACUGCUGCGGCAGUGGUGAAAUAUAGGUAGAGGCUCCUGCGGGAGAAGACACUGCUGCGGCAGUGGUGAAAUAUAGGUAGAGGCUCCUGCGGGAGCAGACACUGCUGCGGCAGUGGUGAAAUAUAGGUAGAGGCUCCUGCGGGAGCAGACACUGCUGCGGCAGUGGUGAAAUAUAGGUAGAGGCUCCUGCGGGAGCAGACACUGCUGCGGCAGUGGUGAAAUAUAGGUAGAGGCUCCUGCGGGAGAAGACACUGCUGCGGCAGUGGUGAAAUAUAGGUAGAGGCUCCUGCGGGAGCAGACACUGCUGCGGCAGUGGUGAAAUAUAGGUAGAGGCUCCUGCGGAAGCGGAGACUGCUGCGGCAGUGAGGAAAAAACAGAAAAGGCUCCUGCAGGAGCGGACAAUACUGCAGCGGUGGGGAGAUAUAGAGAAGGCUCCUGCGGGAGCGGACAAUGCUGCGGCGGUGGGGAGAUACGGAGAAAGCUCCUGCGGAAGGAUGGCUGAAGUGAGGAUUGACCAUUACAGAUAGAUAGGGCAUGUUAGGAGAGUUAGCUAUGGUAGAUUAGGAGUUUUAGUGAAAGGGGAUGAGCUGGCGUUAGAGGGGUUGGCUGAAGAGGGUUCGAGAUAGAUAUAUAAAUAAAUAAAAUAAUCGGCCUGACCAAUAAUAGGUCUUGGUACCCUCUGCCUUCUGGCAAAUCUGGAGCUGGAGGCCACUGAACAGAAAAAUGGUUAGUAGCAUGAGGGAGCGGAAGAGUUGAGGGCGCGUUUACGAAUGGAGGCGGCCUCACGUUUGCUUCAGCUGCUGUAGCUGUGGGUCGUG